rnacentral:rRNA from 1 species
UACGUAGGGUGCAAGCGUUGUCCGGAAUUAUUGGGCGUAAAGAGCUCGUAGGCGGUCUGUCGCGUCGGCUGUGAAAACUCGGGGCUCAACUCCGAGCCUGCAGUCGAUACGGGCAGACUAGAGUGCUGUAGGGGAGACUGGAAUUCCUGGUGUAGCGGUGAAAUGCGCAGAUAUCAGGAGGAACACCGGUGGCGAAGGCGGGUCUCUGGGCCGAUACUGACGCUGAGGAGCGAAAGCGUGGGGAGCGAACAGG